UCUUAACAUAUUUUUCAUUAAUUUAAAAUUUCAUUUUUAAUUAAUUUUUUGAAAUAAUCAUUGUAAUAUUCUAUAUUUUAAAUUAUAAUGUUUCAUUUUUUGUUACAGUUCUACUUUCUCUUGUUUGAUGACGAUUCCAAGAUAAUUUCUUAUGGGUCAUGACAAUAGAGAUGGCAAUGCAGAUUUUUUACAUCUAUUGGUGAGUCGCAUGCGUUUUGUUUCCUCUGGUCACUCAAUCAUGUCGUAGGAUGAAAGAUCCGCAUCGACACGAGUGAUUGGUUGUAUUACGUAGAAUUUUACACGAGCACAGUGACCAUGGGUAUUUAUUAUAUCCAUGAAUAAUAAUAUUUCUUUUUUUUGUGUGUUUUAUUUAUUAAUAUAGGAUAGGAUCUUCUUGCAUAUCGCGUUGUAAUAUAAUUAAAUGAUUUUUAUAAUUAAUUUAUUAUUAAGAACAGUAUAUUUAUAUUCAUAUGUGGAUAAUGUGAUAAAAUGUGAGUCUUUCAAUAAAUAAUAAAAUAAAAAUGAUUUUAUUACAAUAGAAAUUCAAUCUAUUUAUAGUAUAAAUUUAUAGUAUAAAUCUAAUUUAUAUAAUCUAUUUUAUAUAUUAAAAUUUAAUCUAUUUUGUAAGAUUUAUUCAAUUUUAUGUGCAAGAAGAAGCUUCGCGACAGGUAGAUUUCGGAAUUAAAGCAACAAAUUUUGAAUAUUUUCAUGACGUAGAAAAUGUGUUUUGAUAAAGAAAUCGCCUGAGGCUUUUUUUUAUAUUAAUUUUCUUAAAAUAAUUACUUUUAUUAUAAUUUCUUUUUCUUUAAUUCUUUAACAUUAAUAUCUUAGUAAUUCAUUAAAGUAGAAUCAUUAAAAUUUGAAGUAAAAUAUACAAAAUGAUAUACAAAAUGAAAAAAUAUUAGUCCGUUAGACACAAAAUAAUAAUAUUUUUCUAGCUCAGGAUUUUCAGGUUUAAUCCUUUCCGUGUUCAUUGCCAAGAUCUCACUCACGUGCCCAGGUGUUACUUGGGUGAGAGAAACGCAAUGGAUACGAUGACAAUACUUUAUAAAUUUAUAACAAUAUUUCAGCGACUGACGAUGCGUUAGUGUAUCGUGCACGACGUAUUUUCCACGUUGUGUAUGUGUGCGAUUAGGCCGUGGAAUUGCGUCGUUUAUAAUUUUAUCGGUAUUAAGUAACGCGGAUUAAUUAUGUAAAUAAUAAUCUUUUAUUUAAAAUUGAUAAAAAGAAAUUUUAUUAUUUCUUUAAAAGAUAUAUGUAUUCUUUUGCAAUUUAAAUUAAGAUGCAUACAGAGUUUUAUCGCAAUUUACGCAAUGGUCGCUAGCCAUCGUCAGUCGAUUUCAGGGAAAUGGUACGUAAAGUUAGAGUGUGAAUGCAGUGUGCCAAGCUCGGGUGUCGGAGGCGUCCCGGGACGUUUUCCCUAGUGUAGGCAUUUUGCGCCCGAGCAUUAUGCGUGAGAAUCGUGGAAUGAAUGUGUUGGUAUGCCUGUUUUGCCAUAUUUUUUAAAUAUAGGGUUUAGGUAGGAUAGGUAGUAUAUUUCUGGUGUGCCUGUUAAUUAUAAGUAGGUAGGGCCGGGCAGGUUGUCACAGUCUCUGAUCGGGUAGGCGCGUUUUCGCGUGGCAACCUGUUUCAGGAAAUAAAAUUUGAAAAAUCGAGAGCAAAACUGAGACGAAUGGAGAGUACCAUAUCGUUUCUGGUUUUUCCCGUCGAUUUUUCGAAUUCCGCGGUCGCGAUCGCGAAUUAAACGAUCUCGAAACGAACGUUGCGCUCGAGAUUCUGCGCGUGCACGGACAAUUAUCAUUGCGAUCGUUGGUCGUCCACGUGCGAUUAGUUUUCGCGAUUUAGUCUUUAUUUUUUUUUUUUUUUUUAUUUGCGAUUAGUGAAUCUCGAGCCUAGAUUUAAGUUUCAGCGGGCAUUGCGCCCGAAGGAGGAAGACCGAAGAGGCCCGACAAACUGUCACGAAGAGGGCUGCAACGAAUGGCUUCUCAUCUUUUGGAUUUUGUCCAAAGAAUGGGAAGUCAUUGUUAUUAUUUUGUCACUGUGCUCGUUUUAGUAUCACAUAGUAAAUGUUGCGUAUUGUCCGGCCGAUGCAUGCGGGCCCAUCAUCCAGAUGCAGUCAUCGUGGGCAAAUCGCGGUUUUGUAUUAGUGUUGCGAUAAAUUAAUUACGGGUUGAAUUAGAGUUGCGAAAUAAUUUCACGGUUUUUUUAUUAGUGUUGCAAAAAACGAUUUACGGAUUGAAUUAAUCUUGCAUUAAAGCGAUAAUCGCGUUUGCGUUAGUAUUACGCAAUUAUAAAAUAUCGCGAUAUUUUUAAAUAUUUUGAAUUAGAUAAUUCUUUAUAUAGUUCUAUUUAUAUUUAAAUUGCAAAAUCAUUAGUUUUCAAUUCAUUUCCUAGUGUUUCGUUUCAUAAUAUCGGGAUAUUUAUUGUUUUUUAUUCAUAGAAUAACAGUAAAUUAUUAUUAGAUUCAUUUUAAAAUUAGUGUUGCGAUAUUAUUUCAUCGCGAUUGUUUUAAUUAGUGUUGCGUUGAUAAAUGAUCGCGUUUUUUAACUAGUAUUGCGUUUGUAAUAUGCCCAAAAUUCUUCCACUGAUAUGGUGGAAAUUGUUCCUGAAUCAUCAUGCAGCUAGAAAAGCUGCACAAUGAUGGUUUGACAAUGGCAGCCUUUGAUAUGGCUGCACCGACUUCAGUUUUUCGCUAUUAGUGUUGCGUAUAUUAAAAUAUGAGUGCAUAAAUUAGUAUUUAUUAGUGUUGCGUAAUUUAUUAAAACGCCUUAUUAAGAUAUUCGGGAAUCAUUUAUUUAUUUUUUAUUUUUUUUUUUGAUUAAGAAUUGCAUUGCAAAUAAAAUAAAGCACUCUACGGUUUCUUUUCUAAACUUAGUAUAUUAGUGUUGCGAAAGAGAAAAUAUUCCACUCACGGUUUGUUCGGGUGUAUUGAGUGGAUAAUUAUUAUAAUAUUUUGGUAGUACUUCUGACUACCUUUUCUUUGUCUUUUUUUUUUCAGCCAUCUCACAGAAUGUGGAUUAUUAAAGGUAAUGUUAAAAAAUAUAAUUAUUAUGGAUAUAUAUAAUGGAUAAAAAUUUAGUUUUUCAUGUAGAUGGGAUUUAUAAACGAUGUAUUUUUUACGUGGAAAUCUUUAAUUUUCCGAUAGAUAGGAUUUAUCCACGAAUCCUUAUAUCCUUAUAUCAUAAAUUUAUUAAAAUAUCAGUGUAUUUAAACUACUCAGAUCGAUCACCCAAUAAUUUGUUUUAUUCCUGUGUCAAAUGUGAUAGUUUUUCCAGUCCUAUUCGAUAUUCUUCAAUAUUUUUUAUAAGAGUUUCGUUUAAAAUCGAUGUUUGGCAGCAUGUGAUACAAAAUUCCACAAGAUAUCAUUAUGUCUCCUCUUUAUUUCUCGUGCUCGUGGCACAAUAUAAUUAAUUUAGUUCAAUUAAGGCAGAAAUUCAGACAAUAAGUGACACCUAUGCACUUAUUGUCUGAAUUAUAAUUCUUAAUAAACUCUAUCGAUAAACUGCUUAAUGUAAUCUGUUGCACGAUAUUUUUUUGCAAAGAUACAAAGUAACUUAAAUCGAUGAAUUAAAUAUAACAUUCGGUUUACAAAGCUUUCCUAGUUGAGGAUUUUAAACAAGAUAUGAACGACAAAAAAAUUCGUUUCGAAAAAUUAUUCGUGUAAUGAUGAAAGGGUGGAAAAAUGAAGGGGAUAUGAGGGGAAAAAGUGAAAAGAUGAGGAAAAAAAAAACAAUACCAAUGAGAAACAAUUGAUUUCGUAGUUUAUUGCAUCGAACACAGGAAAAUGUCGCUUAAUCAAAAGUGCGUGUCGGGGUACCAAAUCUCGUGAGCUCCGUUUCUUUCUCGCAUUUUUCAGAAUUUGUUCGUCCGCGGUUGAAUCUCAGCAGUCUCCGUCUCCCGUAUGACCCUAAUAAUGAGAGAGAGAGAAAAAAACGCACACGCACACAGAGAAAGAGAGAGAAAGAUAGAGAGAGAGAAGGAUAGGAAGUUAGCUGCCGAACACCCUAGGCUAAUCUCUCAUAACUGAAGUGGCUCAUUUGCGGCGAGACUCGCAAUGCUCAUCGAGGAAUAAAAAAGAGACCGAAGAAAAAAAAGGAUAAGUAGCGAGAGAGAAAAAGAAAAAGAGAGCGGAGACAAAGCUGGGUAGGAUUAUAAGUUAGGAUAAUUGGCAGCAAGCCCUUUUUCCCCGUGUUAGUCACCAUGAUAUAUAUAUAUAUGUGUGUGUGUGUUCCAAGAGAAGAGAAAUUUUGAAGCCUAUUUUAAUAGGAAGGAAGCUGAUGUUCGAAUAAUAAACGCGAUUUUAUACAUAAAAGAAUCCAUGAAGCCAUUCUAAAUCCCAAAAAUGGAUUCGAUGGAACGAAAUCUCGAGUCCCUGAAUAAAAUUAUCUUAUUCAAGUGUGUACGGUUGAUACAUUGAUUUGUUUAAUAUCCUUUCGUUAAACGAGGAUUAUUGGAUUGUGAAUAUUUAAGUGAGUUUAAAUAUUGGAACAAAGUGAAAUGAAUUCUCUUCACGUCUGGUGAAUUUUAAAUUUCUAACGAUUUCUAAACAUAUAUUUCAUUAUUCAUUAGAAACAUUUAAUUUUAGAGAAUACAUUUAUAACGCAUUAUAAAUAUAUAUCAUUAUUAAUCGAAAUGGAAUCAGUGAUUUAAUCGAAGACAACAUAAAUGACGUUAGUUUACCGAUAUCUACGAUCAAUUAAUAUAUAAAAUUAAAGGGGAAAUUCAAUAUGAAAGGAAAAAAGAUCUAAAAAUGUUUGAAUAUCGAUGAAUUCCAAUGUAUAUCCCUAUGAAAGCGAUUUCAUCUGGAUUCGACAUAGCAAUUUGGCCAACAUCAGCACGCGAGAAUUCCCAUGGGAACUCACGUCCGCAGAUCGUGGUGGGAUUUCGUUCGACAUGUAUUUUAGUGGCGGGAAAUCUUCGAUCAAUCCCCUUUUCCACUGGGAAAGAAUUAUCGGAAAUUCACAUGAUGAAGCAUAUUUUGUUAUUUAAUAGAUAAAAAGAUUCGCAUAAUGAUAGAUGAUUUAUAAAAAAAGAAAAUAUAUAAAAUGAAUAAAUUCGUGAUUAAUAAUAGACGAUAUUCGAAAUUUUUUUACGUUAAAAAAGGGUUGCAAGAAAAAUCAAAUCCGUCCGGAGGAUUUAACUUAAGAGAGUUUUCACGAUGCAAAGAAGUAUCUCGACGCAAAAUUGUCUGUCGUGAACAAGGGAAGAUGGAGGAGUGAUUUGCUUUGUAUCGUUACAAAGAGAAUAAAGCCGGCAGAGGGAUGAUGUAUAGAGGAGGGUGACAUAUUGUAGAUAUUCGAAACAAGAAGAUGGAAGAUGAAACAGAAUCCUCCCUUGAGAGGGGGAUACUAUCGAAGAAUGGUAUGGUAUAGUUCGUUGUAGUGUCUGUGGCAAGAAUCAUUGACCAGAACUUGAUUCUUCGAGAAUGCUCUUGAGCGGUAUGAAGAUGUCGAAUAUUGGAAUCUGGAGGACUUCCCCUCGAUACAAUACAAAUUUUUAUUGGAAACUUCAAAUCCUUUCAUAAAGUUCAGAAAAAUAGUUCUGCUUGCAAGAAAUAAAAAAAAAAAAAAAUAGAUAGAAGUUCAAUAUAAUAUCUUUGACAAAAAUGAAUCAGAGUAAAACUUUCAUCGUUGGAAUAAUGGAACGGAGACUUUUCUUGGAUGAAUUAUUCUCAGAUUUUGAGGAAAAUAUAAUACUCUUACUUACAACAAGAUUACAAAAAAAUUGGAAAUUCUACAUUUUCGUCUAAUUAUUUAAUAUACAAAGAAAUAUGAAAUCGUGCGAAUAAUUUUCAAUUUCAACCUUCUGUUUUUUGAUAUCAAUGAUUACGGAUUUCUCGAUACUUUUGUCUUUGCGAUAUUAUCGUGUAUGCCGCAACCAAUAACCGUCAAUUUUAAAUUAAAUUUUAUUCCCGCUGCUGCGAUAAGAAAUAACGAUAAGAAAUAAUAAUUACACGGCUCGAAUAAUAUAAUUUUCAGUUAAUUGAACUGUUAUUUAAAACUCGAGUGAAUAAGUUUGACAAAUAGAAAUGACGGAACGAUAAAAUCGAUUGUAGUCGUUUCAACACGGAUGUCGAAACGGAUUAGUCCAAUCUUCUUGCCGAGAUAAAUCUCUCGGAGAGGAGAAUUACGAAAAUAGUCGAACUGCUUAACAAAGAGUUCCUCCACAGAGGCACGAAGUCUGUACCCGUAUCGAGGUUUAACGGAUCUUUUUUAAAUUCACGUCGCGCGUCCCCUCGGUUUCGCAGUUUUCCUCAGUUUCUUUCCACUCUCUACCCAUACCCGUCAUCAUUCCUCCGCUAUGGUAGUCCAGUAUCACCGCAUCAACGAGGGGCGUAGCCUUUAGGCGAGAGUAAACCCGAUUAGACGAUACGCUAAAUCUCAUUCAACCGGCCUUCAUUCUUAAGUGCUUCUUUCGUUCCUCGUAAAAAGCGUUUCGUAGCUCAAGGGACGUCUCGCGGAAAUGUUCUCGUAUUCGAGAAGAGGUGGAGCGAGGAACUUUUUUAUCCUGAUUAAUAUUUCGCGAAUCGUUUCGUAACGUGUUUGCUUAUCGGUUGCUUUGAAUUCUUUGGAGAAUCGAUUAUAUAUCGGACUCGUGGCAACAGAAGAUAUCGAACGAAGGGAUUAAUUAUUAUUGUCCUGUUUUAAUAGUCGUUCAACUUUAUUAACCGCACGAGUCGUGUACGAGUGCAUUUGAAUCGGGGAAAUUUUAUUAACUUUCCCAUCGGGCCAAUAAAAAAUUUUAUUCUAAAUUUUUUACGACAAGGUUCGGCAAGGUAUUAUUCGAGAUUUCAUAGACUGGUAUAAAUAUUUUCACGAGUGUCGGAACAACGGGCAUUGAUCAAUCGCCAGUAUUUAAACGCGUUGCAACCGUGAUGCAUCGGUCGUUGCAACCGCUGCAUCAUUAAACCACAACGCUCUCAAUAACGAAGAGAUAAACUGCAGUUCGUAACCAUGUAACCAGAUGGUAAGAAUUCGAGUCAUAUGUAUCACUGUCAUGCAAAUUGCUUUCUCCCCGCAUAUUCUCUAUCACCACGUUCCUGCCGUUUCUAUGCAACCCUUGCAAAUACUAUUGGAAACUGUACGUGAUAUAUGCGCGACGAGAUUUCCUCGAUCGAAAAUGUAUUCUUUGAAUCGUUUAGAUUUCAUUUUUCGUGCACCAAAAUACAAGAAACGAUAUUAGGAGAUAGAUAAUAAAUUGUGUGCAAUCCACUUUGGUCGAAUAUUAGUCUCUAAUUUUUUGUCUAAAGCAUGCAAUGUGAUAUGCAAAUAUACACUGCAAAUCCCGACGAAUCGAAGUUCGAUGUAACACUUUUGCUUGAAAAAAAAAUUGAACGAGAUGAAUCGAAAAAUCGUAUUACUAAUAGAGACGUGUUUGAUUCAAGGUGCAGACGAUGACAGAAAAGAAAGAAGAAAAAGAAAAAAAAAAGGCAGCAUGCUUAGAGCGAAAGCAAAGCAGUGUCGAUUCUCGUGAGUUGUAAUGGAUGCUCACCUGGUCUCCGUCGUGUCCUUGCCAGCUGUCGUGACUCUGCAACAAAAGGAACGAAUAUAUGAAUUGCAAAUGCACGUUCUGUUCACGUUAAAAUUCUCGAUGCAUUCGAUCGAUUGAAAAGAGAGAGAGAAGAGAAAGAGAGAGAGAGAGAGAGAGAGAGAUGGAAAGAAAUCGCGGGUAGACAGGGUGGACAGCCAAAGAAACAGAGAUGUCGUAAUUUAGGUCGAGAUAAGAAACGUGCCGGGUGUUUUCUUGGUUAUCCGCAGUUUUCAUUUAUACCGUGGAACGGGCCGGACAGAUUAAAUAUUGUUCGGAAAAGAAUGGCCCCGACAGAAUCGAAAACAAUACGAAAGUCUGUCGAUAGAGCGAGUGAUACCGCUACGGCUUCUAAAAAGACGGCUUUCCUACCUUUCUUUUGCUCUCGACAUGCGCUUUCUUCCCGCUCUGUCCAAGUUUAAACUUGGAACGAUAUUGUGCUGCCAUUUGUGUGUAUCGAAAUUGAACAAGUUUUAUGAUUCGAUUCUCCCAUUUAAUCUUGGGAUGGAUAUAAAAGAUGGAUAUAUUAGAAGAAAUUUGAGGAAAAAAAGUGGGUCAGAAUGUACGAGAAACGUUUGCGAAGAAUUUCAUUUGUCCCUCUAGCAGAUUUUAGUAGUUAGAAUUGAAAAACCAAGCAGACAGGAAGCAUUUCGCAAUUUCCUACUUUCUUUUCUUAACCAUCCUGACAAUUAGCCGGAUGCGAAGAUAUGGAAAAUGCAAUUUUCUAUUUUAAAAAUUGAAAUAUUCGAUCAUCAAUCAGGAUUAAAAGAUUCAAUUAUUCUUUUCUUCGUUUAUAUAACUAUUAAAGAAUUGAAUUAUUUGAAAAUUAUUCUUCUCAUCGACUCUUCAAUUUGAUGCUUCGUUAAAAAAAUAAGAAUAUUUUGGCAACACUUUUCACAACAUAUUUGCCAGAAUAACAUCAACACGACGAUAUCAUUUAAUCAAAAUUAAUCGCCUGUAUAUUAUACAAGCUGUUACAUUAACGCAAAUGGGAGAAUGCAAAACGGAAGAGUCGAUAAAUUGGGCCGGGAUUUGAAUUUAUUUCCCGUCGCGUCAUUUUCAUCGAGCCGAGCUGGAAUUUUGAUAUUAAAAGGAAUAUCGCACGCCGUAGAGUAUUAUUAAAACCGGUGGAACCAGAAAACGAGAAACUAGAACGUUGAUGAAAAUCGUGACAGAUACGAAAAUAAUUCGAAACGGUGGAAAACGUCAAUUAAUAUUAACGAGAACGAUCGACAAAGUAAAUGAGAAAAAGAAGAAGUAAAUUAAUUCAUUGGUAAUUGAAGAAUUAUUCUACCGGAUGUGUGCAGAACGUUUUUGAAUCUGGUUCUGUGACGUUCAGACAAAGGAUUUAAAGCGGAACGAGGAAGCGAAUAAGAGAUUACGACAUGGAAUUGAUAGUAAAGUUUCUGUCACUAUUUGUAGUUCAGGAAACUAACCGAAAAUCUAUUUCCAGGAAUUCACGGUUUGAGUAACAAAGGCACGGAUAUCAGACUCUAUAAAGUAAAUGAAAUUGUGUCAAUUUUAGCGUAUAACUGAAUUGGAACCACCAUUCCAAUGUUCUACGCUUCACGUGUCUGACUCUUCAAUCUGCAUAUCUUCCAACUUUAUAAACGCAUUCCUCGGCUUGAAAUAAAGUAAGAACACAAAGAUCAAUUUCACCUGGUGGCGAUCACGUUAAAUAUUAAUGUUGAUUAAAACGUCUUUGAUCAUCUUCGAAUUGUGCAUAUCUUCAUCUCCAUAAUUUUUUGCAUUGUAAAGGAGCGUGGCAUAAAUUUUCAUCGCUUCCAUAUUCCAUAAAUCUUAAUCGUCUGAAGGUUAAUCACGUGAUCUAUAUUCCUUGUCACGAAUUCGGAUUUGCCCGAUAAUUCAACAUCACCACAAGGUGAACGCAAUCGCGCCGCUCUUACGGUCAAUAUUGAUACAGAAACGCGAUCGAGCCAGCCAUUGAAUUUCCGAAUUCUAUUUAUCCGACAAAUCGAAGAAUUUUCCGGGACAAUAGCUUGUGUCCCGGGAAAAAUUUAACGAGCCUUAAAGUUGAACGAACAAAAAUUGUGCUCAAGUGUGAUUCGCUCGAUUAUUUAUAAGCAUAUAUUGAGUUGAGAAAAAACGAAGCUGACGAAAUAAUAACACGAAUCCUGCAAAUUUAUCUCCAUAGAAAUGUUUCGUUAAUGUAGACUGUGUUAAUAAUUGGCUCGAACGAGUGAUCGAACGUGGGGAUAAUUAUACUGUAAACAAUACAUACGUUCUACGAGUGGAUAUUUCGCGGAAAAUAGAGGCUCAUGAAUGAGCCAAAUAGGGUUCGAUGCCAUCGCAUUGACCAAUAUUAAUAUUUGCACACGGGCGGAAUGGAGCCACCGUUCGAAUUUCCAAAUUCUAUCCAUCUAUCCAUCUAUGUUAAGUACAUAGACGGAAGCGUGGUGAUAACGGAAUUGAUAGAAUCGUAUAAUAAUAAUUACUAUCUCUAUGCUUCUAUGCUUCUCCUCCCAUCCUUCCAUCGAUUCGUCCCUCGAUUUUGAUUCGCCGAUCGUCAUUGUUCGCACGAUCGAGCAAUAGAAAUUAUUACUGGAAUUAUAAUCAAACGUGGACACCGAUCUUUGAUUUGAUAACCAAUCACCAAUUAAUUGGCACGAUAACGAAAUUACUAGUAGCUUAUUUCGAUUCGACUCGCCUUGUUUCCACGACGUCUAAUUGGGAACGUUUAUCGUUGAUCCAUUCUCCUUAUACAAUCCUGAGUUUCGUUUUUGAUGCAAAAUUCUUAUCCUAUUUUUCGAUUAAUAAAAAUGAAAAUAAGAAUUUAUGGCUCGAUUGUCUAUUGAAUUAAAUUGAAUUUGAAGUUACAUACGUAUACAGAAUAGAAUAUUUAAAUAUAAUAAAGCACGAUAUCCAAUUCUAUUACAUUAAAGAAUUGAGAUUAUAAUUUCUUCAAGAAUUUUUCAAUUCAAAUACGCCAGUAGUAUGCACAGAAACAUAUUAGAAUACAAUAUUUAAAACAUAUAUAGUAUUCAAAAAUAGGAUAUAAGAAUUCUCAUAAUUCUAAAGGUAAAUAUUGGACAAAUUCCAGACAAUCUCGAGUCGUUGAAGUAUCGAACUACUAAAGCUAUCGAUUUCAAUCUUUUCCUUCAAACAUAUCCGAUACUUGUUCAAAGGAUUCCAGCUCAGAAAUUCUCAUAUUUCACUGAAAUAAAAAAAAAAAAGAUUAAAGCGCCUGAAUUUUUCCAAGAAACUGGCAGAAUUAAUAGCGCGACGUUCAGUCAAACAGAAACGUUUAAAUAUGGUGGCACGGCAAGUUCGGUUCCGUGAAUUUUCGGUUGGCCGAUUCCUCGGGCGUUUCUAUUCUCCAUCAGCCACGAAACGGCUGCUUUCUAGGCAGCAGCCAGCCACGACCUCACGAUGCACGCCACAUCCAUCAAGUCGGAUGAAACCGCCGCGCCGUUCUCUCACCGUAUAGGUGACGUAAGUUCCGUCUGGAAUGGGACUCCGUGCUAGACGAAACACCUUGCCUAGGAAUUACGCGAGCCGAGGGAAGCCGUGUACACACGGAUAUCCAAAUGCAUCUCAAUGUGUUCAAACGACAACAAAUGGCGCAUCUGUCUGUCGGUGCAGCGUAAUUGACCUCGUCUAUAAUUUUUGAGAAACGGACGAAGAGAGGUCUUUUAAUUUUCGUUAUAUUAAGAUUAUUCGUUAUACUCGAAGAGUAUGUAUGUGAACAAAAUCACAGGUAUGGGUUUUUGAAAAGAAGUAUAGAAUAAUUAUCUUUUCUUGUUUUAGUGAAAUAAAAAGUAGUUGAAAUUAUACAGUUUUAUAUAUAUAUAUAUAUCAUAUAUAUAUCAAGAAAGUUAAUCAAUUAUUCACGAGUGAAGAUACUUUGGAAAAUUUUGAUUUUUAAGAUAUGUUUAUAAUUUUUAAGAUAUUUAUAUUGCCACAUUUUUUCGAUACUUUCAAUACUUUCUUGGAUUUUUGUAAUAUUUAAAUCCUUCGAUCCCACAAUGAAUAAUUCUGAAUGGUGAAGAUCUUGAUAGCUUUACUGGCUAUCCAAUCGUAUAUCCAGACGCACAUUUCUUAUCUUUUUUUCUUCUUCUCGUUCUUCUCGAGCUAUUUCCUCUCAAUUUCUUAUAGACGUCGAAUGUCGAUCGGAUCGAAGUCAUGAUUUUCUCAUUGGUCGAACGACUACAUCAAUUGAUCUGUCAGAUAGCUUCGAUAGCUUCUUUCUUCGAUCAAUAUUCGAGCAUUUCUCUAUUUUUUAUUUUCUCUAUUUUAUAUAAUUUUUCUUUUUCUCGAAGAACUUUCCAAUUCUAUUAAAACAUAUAAUAAAUUCUUUGUCUUAUAAUAUCAUGAGUGCAAAAUCAUAAAAAUUUUAAAAAAUAUUUAUCGCUAAUUAUUGUAUUCUUCUCUAAUAAAUUAUAUAGAUAAUUCUGAAUAUUUAUUGGAAUUUUGAAGUUUAUAAAAGAAGGAUAUAUAAAGAUAUCAAGAUUUCACAAUUUCAUAUAUUGUCUUUCGAGUUUAUUUAAACAGGUAUUUACUUUAUGUAGCGAGAUAGUUUUUAAAAUAGCUCGACAAAUCUCACUUUAUGGUUCAUGUAAUAUGUUAGGAUGUUCGCCUAUGAAACUCCACGCAGCUUCUUGUUCCAUCGAGCUAAUAUACUUCCGCUUUUUUCCUCAUUAGUGUUCGUGAAAACGAGAAUUUUAGAGAGACGCCUCCAGAAAUUGCUACUUCUACUUCUCGUAAAAAUAACUAAUAAAAAUGAAUCAUUAAUCUUAGAAAUAUUAUAUAUUAAUUUCGAACGAAAGAAAUUAAAAUUUAUUCCUACAUAAUUAUUCAGUACUUAAAAAUCUAUUAUUCAAAAUUAUUUUUACAGGAAAAAAACAUUAUUUCUUGGAAACAAAAAAUAAAUUAUUGAACAAAAAUAUACAAAAUUAAGAAAAACAAUAAUUUUCGAGCGAUUCACUUGAAGAAAUUUAAAAAAUUAUGAAUAGCGAAAAAGAAUUUCAUUUCGAUAUUUCAUUCCUCGAACGUAUAACGUAGCAAGUGUUAAUAAAUUCCACGAUUUUCGAGUAGAAAUGAGCAAUUAAUACAAGCUUAAACAAAGUACUUAAAUAAUGCACUUUCACAACGAUGUGUACACAUAAUUCGACAAAUAUGUUACGUCCACAAUUUUUAAAUAAUGAUAAAUUUCGAUGGGAUGCGUUAAAAAAAUAAACGAUACAUUUCUGCAAUGAUACACAUAACUCGACAAAUUUGAACGCAUUUCAGAAUUUUCAAGUAACGGUAAACAAUUAAUAUAAACAUAAAUAAAGCGCGGUGGAAAAGCAGAGUGUGUAUUUUAUCGUGAUAUGAUUGUUUUUUCACUCGUUUCUGGUUUUCCAAACACAGCUCGUUAUAACUGAGAGGAAGAUUAGUCUACUGGAGCUCGAUGCAAUAUUAACGCAGAGCGGCCAUAAAGUAUUCAUACGUCUCCGCGUAAAUUUCAGCCGCGGCCGGACUGGCUCAUCGUCCCUUGAAACACUGGCCAAAUACCGGCACUAAUUAAUCACUCUCAGACAAAUUGCCGAACCCCGGCGUUUUGCUUGUAACACCGGAAGUCUGGGACUGUGGGGCGUGUCUGGUUCUUGUUGGCCCCUUCCUCGUGUAGUAUCUUGUCUAGAUCAGCCCGGGAACGAUUUCUCGAGGAGCCGGCUACGUGGAAGAAAAUCAUGGAACACCGGCGAUGAAAGGUGGCCAACUGGAGAGACCGAGGAAAAAGACGAAAAAGGGGGGAUUUAUACGCGGGAGGAUCGAUAUGACGAUGUGAAAAAUAAAUUAGUUUUUAAUAUUAAUAAUAAUAGAUUUAGAUCGAGAAGAUCGUCGAAAUUGUGUUAAAAUUUAUACAAAAAUUUUUAUCGUCUAACGAUAGUCUCAUUUGAAAAAAGUUUUAUCAUUUUCUCUAUGUCAUUUCUCCUAGGACAAAUAAAUUAAAACGUUUUCUAAAGUUCGUAGAAAGUUUCUUAUAGUUGUGAAAAAUGAGAUUUAAAAUAUAUGCCGGAUAAUGAAAAAAACAUUGGAUAGAAUAUUUUAAUUUAAGAAGAGCGAUGUUUUUCUUUUUGAACAAAAAUAUGAAUUAUUAGAUAAUAAAAAUUUUACUCGUAUGAUUGAAAUGAUAAAAUUAUAAGUUUAUAAGAAAUAUUGAUAUAUCUUCUUAUGAUAAUAUAUGAUAUCAAACUUAGUAGCUUAGUGGGUAGAAAAAGACGGAAUAUUUUUGAAAAGUUGCCCAUAUCGGCAACACGAGAAGCUGUGAAAACAGUGGAUUAAGAAGCGUCGAGAUUAGAACUCUCUGUUGACGUUAUUAACAGCUUCGUUCGUUCAAGACUACGUUGUUGCCAAGGAAGCUUCAUUUAAUCCGAUUUAUUACAAACUAUAUAUGAAUAUGAUGAAACGAAUGAUGAUCUUCUGAAAGUACACGCAAGAAUUUCUGUAAACUUUACCAACCAAUUUAUGAUUUAUAAAUUGAUCGAAAUAAAAAUAAAAGAAAAACUCGAGUGUCGAAUAUUUCCGUGGAAUUUUUCUUUCGAUUUUUCUUUCGAUAAAACUAAAGGACCAACGUCGAUCGAAAAAGUCAUGAUCAAAGAAAUUUUGGAGUGACUAACGUACGUUGAAAAUACCUUGAAGAUAACGCGCAAGAAGGCGUUUCUUCAGUAUAUAUAUUUUGCGAGGAGUGUAACGAGAUGUCGUAACUCGUGUCGCCUCCACAAACUUCAGACACUAUUGUGAGAGAGGGAAAUUUAAGGGCGAAGGUUAAACGAAUGUGGCCGUUUCCGUUAGACAGUCGAAAUGGAGAGCAGUGAGAAACGUGCGCAAAAUAAAAGUGCACUAACUUGAAGAAAAUCGCAGCGGAAAUCAAACGUAACGUGAUGGAAUUCGAUAUUCGAAAUAUUAUAUUAUUUAAAAUGGAAGGAUUGCAAUGGAGGGAUGUAUAGUUGUUUUUUACGUCCUACCAAAAAUUUAUUUUUUAUUAAAACAGAUUCUUAAAGAUUAGUUAGAUCGAGUAAAUAGUAAAAGAUGGUCGAAAUUUUAUAAAUUUCAAAUUGAUCUUUUCUUAAUCUUGUGAAUAUUUAAUCUUAGUAGUUUAAUUAAUUUCUAUAACCAAUUGGUAAUUUCUUCGAUAUUAAAAAUUCAAUGAGAACGGGAUAUUUUUUUUUUAAUAUUAAAUAAUAUUAGUCGCUGAAAUAUGAAUUAGGCGGAGGCAGAAUUUUACCGGGAGAAACCAUUCAAGCGGCAUCAACAGAAAGAAACUAAUCAUUAAGAGCGUCACAAGGAGCAAUGGGGGAAAGAGGAAGCAAAAACGAAAGAAUCAAUGUGGCAUUGUUCGCCGGCGUAAUGUGCUAUGAAAAGAAGAAAGGAACUAGGGAAAGAAUGGGAGUAAAAAUGUAGGAGAGAUGGUGAUAUACAGGAGCAAUGUUACGCGCGAUUAACUUCCUCUAAGAGACAACCGUGCCACAAACGACCUCCACCAAACAAUGUCAACCAUGAUGAAGGAAGAAAAUGAAGAAGCAACGUCACAAGGAAUUUUUAAUCCGGCUAAUUCACGAUUGCCAAGUUUAUUACUCAUUUCUCAUUUAUAUAUUUUGCCAUUUCAAUCCAAAAAUUUUUUAUAUGAUUGAUUCAUCUUUCGAUUUCAAUGAUUCUGGAGUAAUAAUAAAAUAAGCUUAGAGUUCAAAUUUAUAUUUCGAGAAAAUUGUUAAAAUCAGAAGUUGAAUAAUAAUAAAAAAAAUUUUUUACGAGUAAUUAAUUAAACUUUCAUUUGUCGCAUUACUCUUUAUUAAACCUACAAAUUUCACGGACUCUAUGCUUGUUCCACACAAUAUAUAUCCAUAAUAUCCAUUGAGAAUGAAAAGAAACUUUCGUAAAAGGAUCUUCACAUAUAAAAUUAUGAUGGAUAUUUAAUAAGCAUAAAUAAACUCAAAGUGUAUUGCACGAAAGGAAUAAAACAUACUAAGUAUUCCACUCAGGGACACUAAAAGAUCCACCAUUAUUUUUGAAGGAAACUGUCUUGUAACGUAUCUCUCGGGACGUCGUCUACCAUUUUCUUGAAAGGCUACAAAUAUUGAUAACACGUAUGAUCCAUACGAAAUGAAUGCUACAAAACAUGCUCACGAAAAGAAAUAUCGUUCAACGUUCAUAUCACGAUGAAUAUAAAGGGACGUUAACAUCGCCUGAAAAAUCGAACGUUCCUGAAUUCGUUUCUUUCAUAUCAUCUUUCACAUUGAACUUACAAACCUCGACGUUUUUCCACUACGUUCUCAGCGGUAGUUUAUUAGAAAAAAUUACUCGGACGAUUCGUCUGGUCGAUUCAUAGUUUUUUUCCAUGUAAAAGAAAAAAAAAGAAAGAAAGAAAAAGGAGAAAGGGUGAGAGAAGGGUUGGGAAGGAGACGACUGAUAAGCUCAAAUGGAUCCCACUUUAUCAUGGGUGAGAGGGUAGGGGUCAGAGUUACUCAGGAGGUUUAUCUAGGUAGUACAAGAGCUUACGAUGUCACGCGAUCCAAUUUGACAGUAUAAGUGACAGGAUAGAGCAUUUACUCGAGAUCAAAUAAGCCUAUGUAAGUGCAUCCAUACAUGUAUAUAUAGCCUCAUAUUAGCGCUCGAUUAACACACUCUGCCUGUAGAUGGAAUGACAUUGGGAAACAAGAAACCUGAUGUAAUGCGUAUUAACUUGGUAUCGUGAAACAAUCACUAUGCAACGAAUAAGAGACGUAUUAAUCACGAUUAUUCAGUCACAUGUAUUCCUCUGUUUGUAAGUGAUACAAUACUCCUUUUAAUUAGGUAAUGCACGAUAACGAAGCAUUAUCAGAGAUGUGAUAAUUGAUUAGAAUAUCUGUGCAAAAUGAAGGUUUGAGAUAUGUGAUAAAAAUUUAAGAAUUUGUAAGAAUUAUUUGGAACAGUUACAGGAAAAUUAAUGAUGCAUUAAUUGUUAUAAAGCUAUUAAAGAAGUGUUCAGUGAAGAGAUAAAAUUGAAACAAAUACCGUAUAAUAAUAAUAAUUAUAAUAAUUGUAAUAUUAAAUAGUAAGAUAAAAAUUUAAGUUUAUCUUUUUUUUUUUCAAUACUUAUAAACGGGAGAGUAUAUUUUACUUUUCUUGACAUACAAAUAUACCAUUAGUUUAUCUUUCCACGAAACCAUAGCUGCGGAUUUCAUUUUGAACUUCUAAGUCAAAUGUUUGUAAAGCCUUUCCACAAAAAACAGGGGCUUCCAGAUUUAUCUCGAACUUCGAAAAUCAAAUAUUUAUACGAUCGUCCGUAAAAAUAGGAUUUCAACUAACUUUCCAGUUUCUAUUUAGUUUUUAUUUGUUCUACAAUUAUCUAGGUUCUAUUGUACUUUUACAUGGUAUUUUUGUUUCGUGAAAAGAUUAUGCACUCCGAUGGUUUAGAAUUUUUGUAUAUCAUGUAAAGUUCUUAUCGAAGAGAAAAAAAAAAUGAAAAUGUAAAACCAUCGCUAAAAGUUUUUAUCAAAGUUAAAUUAAAUUAAAUUCACUGGAAGGUUGUAGGUUUAGUUGUAUCUGUAUCUCUAUUAUGACAUUGUUUCAGCUUCAGCAAGCAAAACGAGGAACACUGGCAAUUUCACAAAAGGGUAUGAUGAGAACUAAUGAUAAUAGUACCCUCGAAAAAGAGAGUUAAAAUAUCAAGAUCAAAAAACAACUAGAGAAAAUGAAGAUUUAUAUAUUCAAAUAAUUUAAAAAAAUUUUUGUUUUAUUUAACAUUUAUAUUUAGAUAAGUAUUUCUUGAAAUAUUAAAUAUAUCAGUUUUCGAUUCGAAAAUUCAAUUUUUUUUUUUUACAUUUGAAAAUAAGAAUGGUAUUGUCUGUCACAAAAGAUUGUAGUGAGAAUUAUCUGUUAUAAAAUUCUUUUACCAACUAUUCAAUCAUGGAAUUGAAAUUGGAGAUAGUUUUGACAGAUCGGUCAGGAACAAUUAACGAGUCGGCAUCGUUAAAGAAACAUGGUGCCAACAAAGCUUUUCAAAUAUUGCGAAAUUGGUCGAUAUCGACUCUACCUGUUGCGUCGUUUUAGUCGCUUACAAUACCUGACUGUGACAUCGAUCUGUGACGUUUCUUUUAUACGUCUAUUUUUCCGCAAAACCUGACGAGUAUCUUUUCUUAAGGACGAGUAUACAUUCUUUUAUUAAAAAUAAAAUAAUCGAUGUGUUACAAUUUUAGUAAUUUUAUUCACAUUCGAUGUUUCGAAUUCUUUGCACCAAGAACUUUUUUCACGGAGGAAAAAAAAAUUGAUUACUCUUCCUUUCUUUAAUCGAAAGAAAUAAAGAAACAAAGAAAAAGAGAGAUCUCUCAAUCUGAAUUUCGCAAAUGAAUGCAUCGAAUGCAUACGAUGCAUUAAGUCCCAACCGCAACGAAUGCAUUGUAGAGAGAGAGAGGGGAUGAAGGGUCGAGAGUGCUCUCGUUUGGAGUUUCCACCUUUUAUCGGAAACGUUCGCGGUAUCCGAGGGAAAUGGGUUUUAGCCAAGUGCUACUAUAAAUUCUAUUUGUUCCGGUGAAAACAGUAAUACAUCAUGGCUUCUUACGGCAAUUAUGUCUACAUCUGAUUAUGUACGAUUAUGCAAAUGCUUCAAACAAGUAUAUAUAUAUUUCGUCCUGGAACAAAGAUCACUGCACAACGAUUUUGAUAUAUCUCGUUGAGGAAAUGAGGAAACUUGAGCAGAAUUUAUUAGAAAAGCAAACGUUCAGAGUUUAUUUUACAAAUUGAAAAAGGAUCUCAAUUUACUUUAUACCUUUACAGUCGAAUUAAUUCAAGUUUUAUACGAUAACGGUCAAUAGCAGAUAAUUUAAGAAGAAAGUUAUAUCGUUUUUAAAAGGAAAGUAAAAUAUUUUAAAUAUAAUUAAAGCUUCUACGUAAACAAGAUUCAUUUUUCUUGGUGAAAAUAUAAUUAUCUAUUUUUUUUUUUUUAUUAAUUCUCCGGCAAUGGCAGAUAGCAAACACGAUCUCUAAAAAAUUUCGACCUAACGUUUGUCGUCCACUAUUUUAUACGAAUAAUUUUUUGGUCGCUUUCCAUUUCUCCGAAUUUUCCCCCGAUAAGAACGUAUUCUGCCGUUGACAUAUUUGAUGUACGAGGGUAAGGCAUUCACCAGGAUAACCGGAAAAAAUUGUUGCAACGUAUUCUUCGGACCAUAUUACUUCCGGCAGUUUAUAAAAAAAAAAAAAAAAGAAAGAAUAACGGCAGUCGAAACAUUUUACAGUAGAAAAUGAUAACAGGAUAUAAAUUUCACCUGUGGCCUCGUCAUUUCGUAAAUCAGAACAAUCAUUCGCGUGAUUUAUAUCUUCGUAAAUCAUUGUGAUUAAAUCACCAUACAAUUUAUAUAUUUCUAUAAAUCAUGUAGUACUAUCGUAGUAGUAGUACUAUCGUAAUAAAUAUAUAAUAUGAUACUUUUAGAGAUAUGUAAUCCAUUUUUAUCGAUCUUUAUCUCUUCUUCGCGAAAAGUUUGCAACAAUACAACACAAUCUCAUUCUUCUAAAUGAAUCGAUAUCUGUUCCCGCAGAUUUAUUCUGCACUUAAUUGCAACUCGAAUCCUCCAUUUACAACAAUGUACAGUGGCUCCACUUAAUUGAUCAAUUAAUUACGUCCAUUAGUUUCAUAUACACACAUCCUUGCGAUUAUUAUUAUCGGCGAUAUAAUUACUUUAAAUGCCAAAUAAACGGCGAUGCGAUCGAUCUCGUAUCCUUCUCGUUUCCAAAAAUUCACGUGUCUUUGAAAAUUCACGAAAAAAAGGGAUCACGAAUCAUUCCACGCGUUGAACACGAUCGUUCUCGCCGGAUAUUACCAACAACGCGUUGACGUUUAUCUGUUUCCAGGCUGCGAUUUUCUCCGAACCGAAAAAAGGAGAGAGAGAAAGAGAGACAGACAGAAAAAUCGGGGGAGGGGAAAAAAACAAAACAAAAAUACGAGAGAUGGAUAAUAAAAAUCCCGCUAUCUGGAGAGAACGAUGCACUCGAGCACGAAUGCUGCUCAUCUCUCCACCACCGAUCCCGUUUUGCCGAAAUUUACGAUAUGGCCGUGGGCAUCGCGCAUAAAACCAACUUUAAAACGGUUCGAUCGGCAACCUACAGAGAGAGAAAGAGAGAGAGAGAGAGAGACGAAGGAAUGGCCGUGGCCAAAACAACCGGGAAUCAGAGAAAGAUAAACAAGGAAUGAGAACGAAGAGGGAGUAAUGGCCGAGGCCGUACACGCGCGAUAUUUCCCUUGUUUGUUUUCCAUUACUCCGCGGAAGGCAGCUGUCCGUUGCCGGCGUGGAAUAUAGCGCGGCAAUGAUAAGGGAAGAGGGUUCGUGUAUAAUGGAGAGAAUUGUGCCUUCACGAUUCGACGAGCCCUUUGGUGCAAUGGCGCGAAACUCUCGGUACUAUCCUUCUGCUAGUUUCACCCUGUUCCAUAGAUUGCGCCAGCCACUUGAACGGUGCCCGAUUUCCCGCGGGAUCGCGCGUGGAAUCGAUAAAAAGGUUCCUUUUAUUUUUCCUUGGCUGGAAUGGUAACCGGAAACCGGAAGAAUCGAGCUCAUUCGGGGUUGUGAUGGUGGGGUGGUCGAGUGCUGCACGCUUUGGACGGGAUUAAAGGUUCGUUUUUUCUUUCUUUCUUUUUUUUUUUUCUUAACUCUGAUCGAUGAUCGAGGAGGAUCGUCGGAGGCACGGACAAACGGAAGAUCGACGGAGGAGGAAGAGCGGUGGGAUUUUUCGAGGAUUUUGCGGAGAGAGAUCGAUUACUCGCGAUUGGUUGGGAUUGUAACGCGAUUGAGAUGCGAGAUGAGCGGAUAUGAAGCGGAAUUAUUGGGGAUCGUGGAUGGAUCGUGGUUGCUGUUUGCUCGGCAGGAAUUUGUUCAAAGUAUGGGGAAAAGGGAUGUCUUAGUUUGAGUUGAAAAUUAAAUUGCUUUCGUUGAGCUUUAAUGGAAAACCGACCCCUUCCCUUCCAAGUUUUUCAGCGAAAUUUGUGUAAGGAAUCUCACGAAUCCGAUGGUUGAUUUUGUAUUAAUGGCUUGGUGUUUUCGCUUUGCUCGUUUUCUAAUUUUGUUCUUUGUUCUUUCUUCUUUUUGACCAACGUGGCUCAUGUUUCGAAGAAAUAGCGAUAUUAUAUGAGAGUCGAUCGCAAAAGACAUUUUUGCCAACAUUCACAUUACAUUUUUUAAAAAUAUAAAUCUUUGGAAGUUGAUUUUAUUUUUGUCAAAAAGGCUUUCGUUCGAAACAAAAAAUACAUUAUUAUAUUAUAUACGUAUAAACUUUCGAUAAAAUCAGAAAUUCCAAGUAGCGUGAAUUUAUUUUGCAUCGUAGAAUACAAAUACUUUUCCAACUUACUGUACACGGCAGAUAUUUACGAUCUUUGAAACACUUCCUCUCGAACUGUUCCUGCUCGUAAAACGAAUUCAUCUUGCCUGUGUACCGAGCUGUAACACGAUGUUCAGAAAUUUCGAUAGUUGGAGAGAUCGCAUGGCAAAGACAAUCGUUGUUUCGAAACAGUAAUGAACAACGCGUUUAAUGCGCCUUCGAAAGUUGUUAACUUCUAUCCCAACGUUUGAUAACACUGAUCAGUUUGAUAAAUAUACAGGAUUUUGCAGGCCAAACCGAAUCGUUAACGCUCUCUCUCAGCGUUCGUAAACGACACUUUUUAUGGAACGAUAUAAAGUGCGUUUGACCCGUUUCCAAGCAAUCGAAAUGAUUGAACGAUGAUGAACGAAUCAAACCCGAUAGUUUUCUGGCCGAAUGCAGAAAGGACUGGUGUUAAUAUAUUAUCAACGAUCGAGCUAAAUAAUGCGAAUCACGUUUGGUAAUUACCGGGUCACUAAUUAUGCGAAAGGUGUUUUGAUGUGACGGAAAUACUGCAAAAGGGGAUCUAAUUUAUAGCUUAAUCUACCUUUCCCCCCUCCCCGUCCAGCUGUCAAUUACGACGUGUUGUAAUAAACCGGUGGUCGAGAUUGGCUUUUUCGAUCGUGCCCAAUUUCUUUUCGCGCGGUUUUCUGAUAAAUUGUCCUUUUGCUUGCUCCAACUUCACCGUGAAAUAUCGAAUUAUCGUUCGUGGAAAGAUUAAAAAAGUCGUAUCUCGCUCGGACUUUCUCGUGAUAUAUUAAAUUAGAGGCCGCGAAAAGAGAAAGAUCUAUCCGUUUUGCAAUAAAGUUCAUGCCAAGUAUCGAAUUAUCGCAGCAGAAUGAAAAGUGGUUAUUACUCUUAUUACCCUUUUUUCUUUUUAAUUCUUUAAUUCUUUUUUUUUUUUUUAACAAUAAACGCAAUAUUAGAAUAGCAUCAACUGUAAUCGAGAAGGAAAACGAGUCUAUAAAGAAUAUAUGGAAUUAUGGAAAGAAUCGAUGAAAAAUUAAAUCAAAAUUUUAACAAUCCUGAUAAAAUUUAUUGCAGGAUAUAUUGAUUUAUUAUUAUGGAUGUAUUGAUAUUAUUUUCGAAAUUAUUUUAUUAAAUAAACGUUUUAUUGUAUAUAUACUUUUUUAAUAUUUCUUUUUCGACAAACAUGCGUGAAAUAAAAUUGCAAUUUUCAAUAUCGAACACGAAUUUCAAUUAUUUGAUAAUAAAUUAUAUGAUUGAAAUGAUGGAAAGAUCUUGUUGAACUUCGUAAUAUUUAAAAUAUAUUAGUGAAAUUCAAUCAUAUCUUGUAUAACGUGAUAAUAUAAUAUUUACUUGACUAUAUUAUUCUAUAUUAAUAUAACCGCGAUAUAGCUUUGAAUAUUCAUGAUAUCAUAGUUAUCAAAGCAAAGAGUGUAAAAAAAGAUGAGAGGAUAUUUUAUUUUUUCGCUUUACUUUGAAUUUAAUUUUUUUUCAUAUUAAAAAAUACAGUGUAUUAUAAAUUUUCAAUGAAUUCUGAAAUUUAAUUUCUCAUAAAAAGCUUAUUCUUUUUAUUCUUCUAUAAAUUACAAUUUGAUAAAAAUAUUUUAAAUUUAUUUCGUAUAAAGGUAUAACAAAUUUUUCAUUGUAACAUUAACAAGAGAUAUUGGAACGGAAGUAAAAAAUUUCUGUCCUGAGAUACAAAUUUCCAUUGAUUUCAAAAUUUCAAUCGAAUUUAAUAAUUUACAUUAUCAAAACAUUACUACCUUCCUUACAUCACAUCUCUCUUAUUUUCACCAACAAGACCAAGAAAAAAAAACAACUUUUCAUAAGAUCCUUCAUUCCAAUUCCAACUCGCAACAAUUAUUCAAAUCCUUUCUCGCCAAAUAUAUCACGAAGCAUUAAAAUUCACGUGUCGACACGUUCUCGCGAUUACGAGAUUUCUACUUAAAUACACACAUGAUGUAAUCAAGCGCAAAUGCUUCGAACAAACGCGAACUCCUCCUAGAAAUAGAAAGAAAGAGAGAAGACGUAUCCAAAACGAAGGUUGCACGCGUAGCAGAAAUUUUUUAUAAAUGGACGGUGCCUCUCUGUAAACGUCCAAAACCCAUUCUGUUCUCGAGAGGGCGCUCAACGUCCCUCGUACGCACAGGUGAGAACCAUCGAGACUCGUUUAUUCCCGUACCCCUUUUCGAGACAAGAAUUUCAACUGCCUUCUAUUCGCCGUGCAACGAGAUUCGUUCAACCCGGCGAAACAAGCACGGCGAAUAAAAAUAAUUUUCGCGAUUGUCUAUGGUUACGAGAUCGAAUUAACAUAACGGAGAGCAAGGUAAGUUGGCGGAAACAUGGCGUUGCGAAUUGUGUAAGUUAUACGCAUAUACGUAAUCGCGUUUAACGGCCUUUUCAUCGAUGUUCGAACACCUUCGCCGUUUCUUCGAACAAGUUUGUCCGAGAGUAGUACGUGGGAGAAAAAGUUUUCACUUGAUAAUCUUGUACAAGUUUCGUGCUAGCAAAUCGUGACGAGGUUUAUUUUUUUUCCACGCGGAAAGAUUAUGGAUUUUUUUAAAAAAAUUUAGUACACGAAUAUUACAGAUCAAUAAUAAUAAUAAUAAAGUAUCCAUUAUAUAGGAAUCAAUGGAGAGACAAGAUUAUAAAAUAACUUUCGUUAUAUCGAGAAAAAUAAUACACAUAUUUACAUACGUAUCUUCCAUCUUUCGAUACUCUAUAUCCAUCGAUCGCCAAAAAAUCGAAUCGUAUAUAUUCAACAAUCCCGUUACAAAAGAAUCUAAAUUCAGUCAACGAAACGAGACGAAAUUAGUAAUCCCGUGGCAGGUGUCAAAGAAAAUCCACUCGGGAGUAAUUAAAUUCCAUCGAUCCAUAAAUUCCACGUGCGCGUCAUCAACGCGGACGGAUCGAAAUCAAAAUCGAGUGUGGGCCCGGAGACGAUGGAUGGAUGGAUGGAUGGGCGAGCGAGUGAAACGUGGGCGGCCUAACAAUGCGGAGAACGCGGAGCGGGAGAAUACGCGCGAUUUGCAAUCGUUGCACGGUGGUGCAUCGUUGGAGCGAUCCGCGCGUCACGUCGCCGGCCGGCCGGCCGGCUACGACGACACGAAGCUGGGUCGGAAGCAAUUAGCAAUUAAAAUCGAGGGCUCGGCGAUUGAUCGGUCUGGUAUGAUACGAGGCUGUCCCACGGGCCAAUCGACUCCUGGAUUAUAAUUACGGCCGCUAAUUGCGCCCACCCCGCACCCUCGCCUCGUUCCUCGCCACUUCUGGCAAAGAGUGGGCCGUGUGAUUGGUAUCCGACAGGACACAGGGAGGGUUUAAACGUUCCGAGGACUUCAUUUCCGACGUUGGAAAUUUUCGUUUGUCCGCCCGAUAAUUAAUUUCGAUCUAACCGGAGCUCUCUACAGCCUCGUCUCCGGGGAGAGAAAGGAGGACGAAAUUCGAAGAUUCGAUUAUCCGUUACAUACAUACAUUUCUACGUGCAUUUCCGGUGUUUAAUUCCAACGAUUCGAGAGUUAUUACGAUUUCUUUUAAUACACGAGGCAUCGACGAGACCCUUCUCAAUACAGAGUUGUCCUGUGAACAAGGGACGAGUGAAAGGAGGCGAAGACAAUCGUGGAAUUCUAAUAAACGUUCGACCACGAUCGUUAACUCGAUCGGAAACGAGAUUCCCGAAAAAAGGCUUGGUUUCGAACGAGUUAAAGGUACGUACGUACAAUCAAAUACGUGGAUACUCUCUUAAUUGUAGCAGUUAACGAUGAAGAGUGAGAGAGCGACAUUGCAGAUCAUUGUGGUGAAUUUGAUUAAACUUUAAUUAAACUUUUUUGAUUAACAUAAACAAUGCAUUUAAUAUCUUAUUCGAAAAAUAUCAAUUUAUUUUAUUUUAUUUGUUAUUAGAUAAUUUACAUUGCAUGUUAGCAAGUAUCCACCUAUUUGUAAAUGGUACUAUAUAUUAUAUAUAUAUAUCUCUGCCUAUUUCGCUCGCUUUUUCUCCUUUUUCGCGCUAUUUCUCCACGUUAUCCCGAACUGAUACUUCGCGCGGAAUGAUAAAGCUUGCAACCCGCUAUGAAUUAUCGAGGGCAUGAAAAUAUAUAUAUAUAUAUGUGUGUGUAUGUGUGUAUUCAUAUAUAUUUAUAACCACACUCACGUCAUUUUGAGCGAAGGUCGGCGUAAUUGGCCCAUCGCUGGCUUCCCAUUUGUCGGCGAUGCGGAUCGUCUCCGCCGUUUUCUGCUGCACCGAUUUCGACUCAUCGAGCAACGUCAGCUCGUAAAACUCCUGGAUAUCUGCAACAGUCCGGAAAACGAUAAAUUAAAUUAAUACGUAUUAAACAAUAACUAUCGACAUUUAUUGCGAUAUUCUUUCACUUCGAAUCAUAAAUUCAUUUUGUUCAUAAUUGUUCUUUUUAAAGAAUCGAAUUGAUUUGGUUCAAUAUGCGGAUGCCCUAUCUCUAAUUCUAUAUCUAUCUUUUGUUAUUUAUGACGGAAGAGAAAAAUGUUAUUUAAUUUCAAGAAUUAAAUAAUAUUUUCUUCCGAUAUUUUAUUAUCGUAAAUAAUAAAUGAAUAAUAUUUAAGAUUCUCAAGUUAUAUGAAACACGUACAUUUCACGUAUAUUUCAAAUGCAUCACUGUUUGAAGUAAUAUUUUUCAUAUCUGCUUAAUAUUCAAUAUAGUUCUAUGGAUGUAUUACUGAUAUAUGAAGUCUCUCUAUUGAAGUCUCACUAUUGAAGUCUUUCUAGAAAAUAUUCAACAUGAAUACGUACAGAAAGAUACACAUAAUUUUCAAGAGCUUGUCUCUAUGACCUCGAUGGAUCUUUCUUGAGCUUGGUCGUCUUUUGAGGACACUGAAAAUAUAAUACCGACGACAACCAGUCUAACACGGAUCCUUUGUGGGAUCGUAGUGGGGUCGUAUUUCCCCGGUACAACGUUUAACCACUAGUCUUUUGGAUAGAAUGUCGAUAGACAGGAUAUGGAUCGAAUGACGACAAUUUUGUUAGUUAAAUUAAUCAAAGAGAAUAUACACAUAACUUGAAAUAAUUAAAUUUCCUCUCAAUUGAUUAAUGAGAGAUGAAAUAUCGCAAUAAUAUGGAAUAAUGGAGGAUAUUACAAAGAAGAUUAUAAUAAAAGAAAUUUUUCACAGAUCAACAUCGUCAGUGGUUUAAACUUAAUUAUGGUUGGUCUGGUAUUAUAUCUAGUAAUAUUGAUAUAUAACGUAAUGACAUAACUCUAGAAUUAACUCUGGAAAUUACUCACGAGAGGGCAACUAACAAGUGACACUCCUGAGGGCGAUACUUCAAGUGUGUCAAUAAUUUUUAUUCUUCGAUAUAUAUAGUAAUCUCAGUCACAAUUACGUACCAACUUAAUUAUUAUACUUAAAAACUGAUUUCUACGUCGAAGAAAAAUUCACACGAAUAAUACCCUAAAAGAAAAUACUUGGACAUAGACGGAGGACAUUUUUUUCAAGAUUUUCUUAACGGGCGAAAAAAUUUAAACUAAACCCACAGCCACACGUAGCUGCAUGUUAAACGUCAAAGAGACCGCUUGUUAUUCGUGGCGAAAAAAAUUCUACGACUUUAAUUAACGUCCCGACUUUUUGUCGUAGCGAACGGCAGCCGUCCUCGAAACGCUGUGCGCCUGGUCCUCUAAUUUUUCGUUUUAAUUCACAUCUAAUGGCAUCUUCUCCGCGCUCUCCAAUCCCAGCAAGUCGAGAGAGUGUGUCGUUGGCACUAUUUAUGCAAGCAACGGGAAUCUUUCUACUCUACCUCUUGGGUACAACUCGCAGCCGGCUACAAAGUUGAGUAUUCGAGAAACCACGUUUCGAAGUCGUUCUCGAGGACCUUUUUCAACAGAGGGAGGAGCGUAAGAUGUCAUUGGACGUGAUCUCAGGCAAACAUCACCCACGAGGUUUUCAUACUUAUUUUUUCCACGAUGUCGUCGAAGAAAUACACGUUGUUCGAAGAUGAAGGAUUUACGGCGACGAAGAUAUGACAAGUAGAUAUAAAUAGAUGCGUGAUAUUUAAUUCUAUAGUUAUAGUAGAAGUAGAAUGUAUAUAAUAAAAUCAAUAAUUAGCAAAAUUUUAUAUCAUUUUAUAUCAUAAGGUAUCUCAUUUAAUUUAAAUAUCUCAAUAUCUUUAUUUUUUAUAAUAAAAAAAAUUACAGAGAAAAAAAUUAUUUCGUUUGUAGAAAUAUAUAUUAUAAUACAUAAAGAUUUCUUUAAAUAAUGAGCAACUUUAAGUUAAAUGAGAUACCUUACGGACAAAAUUUCAUACUUCACUUAUUAAAUAUAGAUAAAGAAAUAAAAGGAAAUAAAAGAAUUUAUUUUAUAUUAUAUUAUAUUUAUAUUUUAUUAUAUUAAUUUAUAGAAUUUUAUUGAAUAUAAUUGUAAUAAUAUUGUACAAUAUUAUAAUAAUAUUAUAUAAUAAAAUUGAAUAAUAAAAAAA